rnacentral:tRNA from 1 species
GCCCCCAUAGCUUAAUGGUAAAGCAGUUGCCUCUUAAGCAAUUGAUGUAGGUCCGAUUCCUACUGGGGGUACCA